CGUGAGCAACCUGCCUAUCAGAGGGGGAUAACGUUCUGAAAAGAAACGCUAAUACCGCAUAACGUGCGGGGGAGACAUCUCCCUUGUACCAAAGGAGCAAUCCGCUGAUAGAUGGGCUCGCGUCCGAUUAGAUAGUAGGCGGGGUAACGGCCCACCUAGUCGACGAUCGGUAGCCGGACUGAGAGGUUGAACGGCCACAUUGGGACUGAGACACGGCCCAGACUCCUACGGGAGGCAGCAUG
rnacentral:rRNA from 1 species